ACAGUGAGCGUUGUUUCUCAGGAUAAUUUCCGCCGUCUGGGGAAGGAAAAAACGACUGAGUCAGUGAGUGCAAGGAAGCAGCCAAAACCUUCCAUGGAGCAGGUUCAGGAACGCUAUUAUUAUUAUAAACGUCAGCAUCGGUGACACUUUAACAGAUUACUCACUCAUGAUAGAAAAUGAGUUACUGUCUAAACAGAUUUCCAAUCACUUGUUGAGACUUAAAACUGAGCAUCAACACAUCAAACACUAUCUUUAAUCAAAAGACGGAUGAAGAAGUUUCUCAGGUAAUAUAUUUUACAUAUUUUUAUUGAAUCUACUUGCACUGAUCAUUUUAAACAAGCACUACAUUAUGUAACGCCUCUGUCUUGUUAUUUUCAUACAGAGCUCCAUUCUUGCUGUCUGGUGGGAUGGAACAUUUUUCCAUCGUCUCACAUAGUUUUUUUUGUGGCGUUACGUCUGAACUUUGAAUAUAAUCCAUGUGUGAAAAUGAUGUUUCAUCUUUUCUAAGAAAGAAAAAAAAAACGUAAGCAUGUCCCCUGAGAAAAGCAAAAACAACGACAGAUGGAAGAACCUGGUAAUUCUGGAAGUUCACACAGUCAGCUGAUCUAGUUUGCUGCCAGAUGAGCCGGUGCUGUAAUUUUCCAAUGGAAAGCUGCUGCCCUUUGGCCAAGAAGUGCAUGCUGGGAAUAAUAGCUUAAAGACAACAGAAAAGUGUUGUUGCAUUUAUUUAUCUAUUGAAUAUUUUCAUUAGAUGCCCAAAAACUGAAAUAAAACAAAAAAAA